rnacentral:rRNA from 1 species
UACGGGGGGGGCAAGCGUUGUUCGGAAUUACUGGGCGUAAAGGGCUCGUAGGCGGCCAACUAAGUCAGACGUGAAAUCCCUCGGCUUAACCGGGGAACUGCGCCUGAUACUGGAUGGCUUGAGUUUGGGAGAGGGAUGCGGAAUUCCAGGUGUAGCGGUGGAAUGCGCAGAUAUCAGGAGGAACACCGAUGGCGAAGGCAGGUCUCUGGGCCACUACUGACGCUGAGGCACGAAAGCGUGGGGAGCGAACAGG